AACAACAUACCUAUCAGAUGAACCGUUUUUUAUAUCGCUCCUCAAAAUCUAGUCCUUCAAAACAAAAAUCUUCGAAUUCUCAACGUUUUCUA